ensembl:lncRNA
CUUUCCUGUGCCUCUGACUCUUUUUCUGCUAUGUGAGUCAGUUCCUUGGUCUCAUAUUUUACAUUCCACAUGUAAGUAAGAAUGUCUCUCAUAUUCUGCAUUCCACACAUAAGUAACAUCAUCACUUUUGUCCUUGUCUUACUCAGUGUGACAGUCUCUAGAUCCAGCAUGGUGCUGCGAAAGCUAUUAUGGCCAUUCUUUUUUUAUGGCUGAGUAAUAUUCCAUUGUCUUUAUGUACCACCUCUCUUGCAUUCACCUGCUGAUGGGCACGUAGCUUGUUUUGCAUGUCCUGGCUAUUGUAAAUAGCUCUCCUGUGAACAGCUGGGGUGCGUGUAUCUGUUUUUGAAUCAGUUUCGUCUGGGUCUGUGCUGAGGAGUGGGCUGGUGGGGUCACGUGGUGCCUCUCUCUUUAUUUUUUUUUAAGGAACCUCCGUGAUGUUCUCUGCCUCAUGGCUGCACCAAUUUCCAUUCCCACCGACUCUGCAGGAAGGCUCCCUUCGCUCCCCGCCCUGGAAGGGACCGUCUUGAGCAUCCCCGAGCUGAGCUGUACUCUGUCCGUGACCCGGAACUUGUCCCUGGAAUUCAGAGAAAGUGCAGAGCUGAGGUUACCGGACAAGCAAAGCCCUUGGGGUGAGAUCCUCCUUUCUCUCCAAGAGUCUCUGACUUCCCAGCAGCUUCAUCAUCUGAGAACGCACAGGCGUGGGCAUUCGUCAGCAGAGGCGGCCCGGACAGACACCCCACGGGGGCACAGGUAUCCCAGAAUUUUGCUGUUUUUGGUCAAACCUCAACAUGAAUCAGCCAUAGGGCAUUUGGAAGAAGGAGCUGAGAUGUCCCUGUACCAGCGUAAUGCCCGUGGGUUGAUUAAAAACUCCAGAGACAUAAAAUUGUCUGUUGUUCAGUCACUCCGUCGUGCCUGACACUCUGGGGCCUCGUGGACCGCAGCACGCCAGGCCUCCCUGUCCAUCACCAACUCCCGGAGCUUGCUCAAACUCACGUCCAUUGAGUGGGUGAUGCCAUGCAACCAUCUCAAGAGAGAAUUAAAAGCCUGCUGCCUGGCACCGCACGUCAGACUAUGCGACCCCGGAUCCUCGAGCUGAGUGAGCACGUUGACGACCUUGAAAGGUCAGCCCCGUCUGCGUUUUUUUCCCCCCGGUGUCGUGGACGAGCGCCAGGAGGUCGGUGAAGCUCUCCGUGGAGGCAUCCAGCUGCUCUCCCGAGACGGGUGUCAUCAUCGUUCCCUCGGGAAACGCAUGGGAAGGCGGCCUCCGGGAUGCCAGGCACCUUCAGGACCGCGCUCAGCCCGGGGUUCGCCGUGGGGGGCUCCCUCCAGCC